CUACGGGACGCACCAGUGAGGAAUAUUGCACAAUGGGGGGAACCCUGACGCAGCAACGCCGCGUGGAGGAUGACGCAUUUCGGUGUGUAAACUCCUUUUAUAUGUCAAGAAAAUGACGGUAGCAUAUGAAUAAGCACCGGCUAACUCCGUGCCAGCAGCCGCGGUAAUACGGAGGGUGCAAGCGUUACUCGGAAUCACUGGGCGUAAAGGACGCGUAGGCGGGUUGGAAAGUCAGGUGUGAAAUCCUACAGCUUAACUGUAGAACUGCACUUGAAACUUCUAAUCUAGAGUAUGGGAGGGGGAGAUGGAAUUAGUGGUGUAGGGGUAAAAUCCGUAGAUAUCACUAGGAAUACCUGAAGCGAAGGCGAUCUCCUGGAACAUUACUGACGCUAAGGCGUGAAAGCGUGGGGAGCAAACAGGAUUAGAUACCCGCGUAGUC
rnacentral:rRNA from 1 species